CAGAUAACUCCGAUGACUCCCAUAUUCUUUGGUCUCCAUUACGACUGCGAAUGUGAGGAAGACUACGCUGCUGAAAAUGUACCAAGUAGAGACGAAAUUGAAUGCAUUCCCACCACCAAAAAGAAGAAAGACCAAAUUGGGUGCAGUGGAUAUUUCUCCAAAAACCUGGACAAAGGGUCGGCUUAUUGGUCGUGGCUCUUUCGGCUCGGUCUAUCAAGGAUCUUCUUCGUAAGUUUUCAAAAGAAAAAGAGAUCGACUUGCUUGAAGUUGAAGGAUUGGAGGCAUACAUAGAUCAGAGAUGGAUUUGUUUUCGCUGCCAAGGAAGUUUCAUUGCUUGAUCCAGGAAGUCCGGGGAGGAGCUGUCUUUCUCAACUUCAACAGGAGAUUGAGUUUCUUAGUUGGCUUGAACAUAGUUAAAUACUAUGGCUCAUUUGAGUAUGGAACAGAUCCAUUCGACAACUCUAUCAGAGAUCGUGUCUUUCAUAUUCUCGUGUCUCUAAAUACACAAAAGAGAUCCUUCUCGGUCUAAAGUAUCUCCAUGACCAUAAUGUGGUUCACAGGGAUAUCAAAUGUGCAAAUAUUUUAGUGGAUGCUUAUGGAUCUGCGAAGCUUGCAGAUUUUGGAUUGGCAAAGAUCAUCACUAAAAUGAAUGAAAUUCAAUCUUUGCAGGGGACUGCAUUCUGGAUGGCCCCUGAGGUUUUUAGUGCAAAAAUGAAGAACCAAGGUUAUGGGCCUCCCAGCAGAUAUAUGGAGCCUUGGUUGCACUGUGUUGGAGAUGUUAACAAGGCAGGUUCCCUACCCUGGUUUGGAACCGUUUCAGGCAUUUUUUAAGAUUGCAAUGGGGGAGCUCCCUCACGUUCCUCAUUUUCUUUGUAAGGAGGCGCGAGAUUUCAUCCAUCAGUGUCUACAAGUUAGUCCAAACAAUCGACACACUGCUGCUCAGCUCUUAUGUCAUCCAUUUGUCACGUCUGGGCCUAUCAAACUACCCCAUGUGUUCGAUGGUCUUUGUAUGAUGAAGGGAAAAGAACUGUAUGCAAGAGGAUACUUUGAUGGGACUAUUAGUCAUUUAGAUUAACUGAGCUGUUAAGAGGCAGGAUAUUCAUACAGAUUUGUCAAGAAUUCGAGCAAAUUGCCCAAAUAGUUUGUAAAGAAAUAGAUCCUAGUCUCUUAUACUCCUGUCAUAAACUCAAGUGAAUGCACAUAACUCUAUUCACAAUGUUUUGUGCAUAUUGAACUAUUAUUGAGGGAGAAUAGUUUCACAGUUGACUUCAAUCUUUCUGAAAGAGUCAAUACUUUAUCUAAAUGAAAGGCAACUAGUGCAUCAGAAGUUGAGAAUAA